ensembl:snRNA U4 U4 spliceosomal RNA
AGCUUUGCAUAGUGGCAGUAUCGUAUUCAAUGAGGUUUAUCCGAGGCGCGAUUAUUGCUAAUUGAUUAAUGAGGUGUUACUUUGAACUUGUUUCUGUGUUAGGAGUAAUUGUUUUAAUACUUGCAUCUUGGAAAG